rnacentral:rRNA from 1 species
AUUGAACGCUGGCGGCAUGCCUUACACAUGCAAGUCGAACGGCAGCACGGGUGCUUGCACCUGGUGGCGAGUGGCGAACGGGUGAGUAAUACAUCGGAACAUGUCCUGUAGUGGGGGAUAGCCCGGCGAAAGCCGGAUUAAUACCGCAUACGAUCUACGGAUGACAGCGGGGGACCUUCGGGCCUCGCGCUAUAGGGUUGGCCGAUGGCUGAUUAGCUAGUUGGUGGGGUAAAGGCCUACCAAGGCGACGAUCAGUAGCUGGUCUGAGAGGACGACCAGCCACACGGGGACUGAGACACGGCCCAGACUCCUACGGGAGGCAGCAGUGGGGAAUGUUGGACAAUGGGCGAAAGCCUGAUCCAGCAAUGCCGCGUGUGUGAAGAAGGCCUUCGGGUUGUAAAGCACUUUUGUCCGGAAAGAAAUCCUUGGCCCUAAUACGGUCGGGGGAUGACGGUACCGGAAGAAUAAGCACCGGCUAACUACGUG